UGCUCAAUAAGCUGUAGCCUAGAGUGGGCAAU
rnacentral:piRNA from 1 species